rnacentral:rRNA from 1 species
GAUGAACGCUGGCGGCGUGCCUAAUACAUGCAAGUCGAGCGAACGGACGAGAAGCUUGCUUCUCUGAUGUUAGCGGCGGACGGGUGAGUAACACGUGGAUAACCUACCUAUAAGACUGGGAUAACUUCGGGAAACCGUAGCUAAUACCGGAUAAUAUUUUGAACCGCAUGGUUCAAAAGUGAAAGACGGUCUUGCUGUCACUUAUAGAUGGAUCCGCGCUGCAUUAGCUAGUUGGUAAGGUAACGGCUUACCAAGGCAACGAUGCAUAGCCGACCUGAGAGGGUGAUCGGCCACACUGGAACUGAGACACGGUCCAGACUCCUACGGGAGGCAGCAGUAGGGAAUCUUCCGCAAUGGGCGAAAGCCUGACGGAGCAACGCCGCGUGAGUGAUGAAGGUCUUCGGAUCGUAAAACUCUGUUAUUAGGGAAGAACAUACGUGUAAGUAACUGUGCACAUCUUGACGGUACCUAAUCAGAAAGCCACGGCUAACUACGU